GUAACCCCUUUGACCGGAAGGAUUCCUUCCAGUUGAAGAGGUUUUGUAACCCCUUUGACUGGAAGGAAGGCCAUCCAGUUGAAGAGAUUACAAAACCUCUUUGACCGGGUUACAGAACCUCUUUGACUGGAAGGCCUUUCCAGUCAAAGAGUUUUUGUAACCUCUUUAAGGAAUCCUUCUGGUUGAAGGGGUUAC
rnacentral:miRNA from 1 species